UCUGGGGAUAAGCCUGGGAAACUGGGUCUAAUACCGGAUAGGAGCGCCUACCGCAUGGUGGGUGUUGGAAAGAUUCAUCGGUUUUGGAUGGACUCGCGGCCUAUCAGCUUGUUGGUGAGGUAAUGGCUCACCAAGGCGACGACGGGUAGCCGGCCUGAGAGGGUGACCGGCCACACUGGGGGUGAGACACGGCCCAGACUCCACGGGAGGCAGCAGUGGGGAAUAUUGCACAAUGGGCGCAAGCCUGAUGCAGCGACGCCGCGUGAGGGAUGACGUCUUUCGGGUUGUAAACCUCUUUCAGUAGGGAAGAAGCGAAAUUGACGGUACCUGCAGAAGAAGCACCGGCUAACUACGUGCCAGCAGCCGCGGUAAUACGUAGGGUGCGAGCGUUAUCCGGAAUUAUUGGGCGUAAAGAGCUCGUAGGCGGUUUGUCGCGUCUGUCGUGAAAGUCCGGGGCUUAACCCCGGAUUUGCGGUGGGUACGGGCAGACUAGAGUGCAGUAGGGGAGACUGGAAUUCCUGGUGUAGCGGUGGAAUGCGCAGAUAUCAGGAGGAACACCGAUGGCGAAGGCAGGUCUCUGGGCUGUAACUGACGCUGAGGAGCGAAAGCAUGGGGAGCGAACAGGAUUAGAUACCCUGGUAGUCCAUGCCGUA
rnacentral:rRNA from 1 species